GCGGGUGUAGUUCAGGGGCUAGAACGUCUGGUUGCCAACCAGAAGGUCGAGGGUUCAAAUCCCUUCGCCCGCU
rnacentral:tRNA from 1 species